rnacentral:rRNA from 1 species
CAGUAGCGUAUAUUAAAGUUGUUGCAGUUAAAAAGCUCGUAGUUGGAUUUCUGGUAUGACGGUGCUGAUCCGCCCUUAGUGGUGAGUGUCGGUUGCCGUCUGCCAUCCUUCCACAGGGCAGCUCUGCCAUUCAUUUGGAUGGAGUUGUUAUGUGGGACUUUUACUUUGAAAAAUUAGAGUGUUCAAAGCAGGCUGUGCGCUAUGAAUACAUUAGCAUGGAAUAAUAAUCUAGGACUUCUGUUCUAUUUUGUUGGUUUUCAGGACUGAAGUAAUGAUUGAUAGGGAUAGUUGGGGGUGCUAGUAUUCAGUGGCCAGAGGUGAAAUUCUUGGAUUCACUGAAGACUAACUUAUGCGAAAGCAUUCACCAAGGAUGUCUUCUUUAAUCAAGAACGAAAGUUGGGGGAUCGAAGACGAUUAGAUACCAU